rnacentral:lncRNA from 1 species
GCGCUUCAUGGAGGUGGAAAUAAGCUUCUGAAUCAAGUUAUGACAGUGAUGAAUGUUCAGACUACAGGUGCAAGAGAUGCUGAUGUAUUAGGCAGACAUGCAGUCAGGUACAGAUAAGCAUGCUCUGUGUGGAAGGGGCUCACAAACUUCUGAAUGAAGGAGCGGCGGUGAUGAGUUCUGAGACUCUGCAGACUACAGGUGGGAGAGUAGAUGGAUAUGAGGUACGUGCCUCAGACUUGCUGAUACAUGCCCUUCGUCCAUUGCGGUUCAGUUUUAGCUUGCUGUGUGGUCUCUGUUACUUUGCAGCUUGCACUAAAACUCCUAGCAUUUAGAGAUAAUCUUACUAUUAUAGUUAUAGCUGUGCUAAUAAGUUUUCAUCCCAUAGCCACCGUUCGAAACAAAUGGUGUGUGGUGGGUUUCCUGCUGAUGCUAUUAAUGGGAAGGGAAUUGCAUAACUAGCAAAAAAGUAUCACUAUUGGAAGAAAAGAAAAUACUUUUGAAUGAUUGAUUCAGAAAUAGGAGUUUAUAUCAUUUCACUGAAUAAUUGUGGCAUCCUGAGUGACAUAUGAACUACUAGUUGUCCAAUGAGAAAGAAACUAUACAUUGUUUAAGCUACAGCCUCUUGUUGUUGAUGUUCCUGAAUCCUGAUUCUUGAAUCGUUCACUCUACUGAUACUGAAGAAUCCAGAGAGUGGCACUGAAAAUGAUUGAAACGUACCAUUAGAAUUCAGGAGUGAUCACAAGUUAAAACUAAACUGUUUCUAACCGGUAAGAGCUUAUAAGCUGUUUAGUUUGAGAAACUGUUCAUAAAAGAGUGUUUCCUUGAUUUCUAGCUUGUCAACAACGAGCAAAAGAGGAUGAAAAAAAUAAAAAUAAAUACGAAGGAAAAAUAACGGCCACUUGGUAAUUAAUUCAACACUUGAAGGAAAAGAAUUUGGGGCAGGCAACAAAGGAGAGCUAUCAAUGUAGGGAGUGAUAUAAAAUGUUGGGGAAGAAAGAAUUAGCUACUACGUACCUGAAUGAAGAGGCCUAGCUUAGCUAGUAGAUGGAGAAGUCCAGAGCAGGGCAGCUGGGGUGUGUGCUGACUGCUCUCUCCAGGGCCGCCCUUGUGGCUUCAAGAGUGCAAUCUCCAUCAAAUGACUUACAUUCACAUACAACGGUCGUGAGACUGCUGGGGAGGUUCUCAAUUCCGAAAUCAUAAGGACCACUACCAGUUAGACCACCGGUACUGUAGAGAUAUCCAUUCGUUGCUGGGGUGAAAUCAAUCCUGAGCUUUUCUAGCUUGGGCAUGGAUCCUGCUUCAAACAUCAUCUUUAUCCCUAACCCAGGGUACAUGCCGUAAGUGAAAUCCCUCAACAUUGGAAAUCCCAUUUCACCACUAACAGUAAGCUUCCCUUCAGACAUUUCUUUUCCUACUAGGCUCAGAGUGAGCAGAGCAGGUAAGCCUCCGAGGAUGCAGAGAUCUUCAUACCUGACUCUCUCCAGGUCAAACCGUAAUUGCUGAAGGUUGACGAGGGAACCCAUCCAAUCCGGAACCCGUGGAAAGGUUGACUGCCAGGUCGUAAGUUUUUGGAGGCCAACCGGAGUCGGGCACCAUUCUUCCAUCAAUAAGCUGUAAUCACAGUUCCAGAUAGUUAAAGAACGAAGAUUGUGUGUGCCUAGUUCAUAGAGAGAAGAUGCCAUUGCUUUCAUGCACUCCUUUGUAUCUUCAGUGUCCUCUUGAUUAUUGGUAAGAUCAAUAUUCAGCUUCCACAGAUUCUGUAGCUUGCCGAAAUCUUGAAGAAAUUGAAUUGGCUGCUUAAAGGCUCUGACUUGUUUCAACGUCUCUAGUGCUUGCAUCUUCGAAAUUCCUCCUUCUGGAAAUUUAACAAACUCGCCGAUUAAUAGAUGUACCAAUUUUUCUAGAUUAACUAUAGAUGAUGGUAACUUGGAUACCCCUGUGGCUGUUAGGUCCAACAUCUCUAAGCAAGAUAGAUGUCCUAUUUCUUCUGGGAGCUCACAUACUCCUGUCCAAGAGAGAUUCAGGUACCUCAGCUGGAAUAACCUCCCAAUAUUUGCAAGAUCGUCGUCUCCCAAAUUACUAAAACCUCCAAAGUCCACAACACGCAAAUGCUUGAACUCAUCUAGAGAAGGGAUUGUCCACAAUAAUCCAAAUACUUUAAGUGAUCGGGCGUGAGACAAUACCAAGUUAAUCCCUGGAAAAGAAUAGCCUUCUUCUGUAGCUUGGAGAGAGAAUCGACGAACUUUCAUUUGUGUCUGAUCAAUAGUUGGACAUGGAACACCAACGACAGUAACAAAGUUAUCUUCGGCAGACUUGGAUAUGAUGAAGUCCAUAACUGUGUCAUGAACUUGACAGCUUUUAACCUUACCAUACUGGUCUAUCUUCACAGGCUGGAUCAAACUCCUAUUCAGGAGCUCAUUAAAACACCUCUCUCCUAACUCAUGUGCUGCAUUUCUUUGUUCUCCAUGAAAGAAUCCUUCAGCAGUCCAUUUCCAUAUCAGGUCCUUCAUCUUAAUGGUUGACGCUUUUGGGAACAUGCUGAGGUACAAGAGACAAGUUUUGACACGAGGAUGAAGAUCAAAAUAACAAAGUGACAAAAUCUUCAUCAUCCUUUCGACUAUAUCACUUGUUUCAAGUGCACACCCAAUUGAAUCUGCCAUGUGAUUCCAUAGAUGCUCUGUUUUUUCUGUGUUAGCCAACAAACCAGAUGUAACUAAGAUUGCCAAAGGUAAGUCAUCACAUUUUUCCAAUAUUUUAUCAGAAACUUCUUCAAGGUGUGGAUGGCAGUCGUCAUCAGAGUUGAAUAAUCUUUGGUGAAAUAGCGGUCUUGAAUGUACCAUACCAAGAGGUCUUAUAUGGUAAAUAUGCCCAUUGAACCAUGACCGGCAUAAUUCGGCGAUAUCUUCACACGGGCUAGUGGUGAUUAUUAUGCCACAGCUUGUCAUGGGGAAUGCAUGCUUAAUGACAUCCCAUGUUUCUUUCUGGCAUAUACCGUCAAGGACAAUUAAGUAUCUGCACACGGAUUUGUGAGUGAUAUUAGUGUGGCUUUAACAUAAUGACAAAUCACCGAAAGGAAAAUAAAGAAAACUUGUUCUUCUUGACAAGGGUAGGAGUAUAAAAAGAAAAUAAGAAACCUGACGUGGGUGAUUAAAUGGUACUGAAGAUGGUAUUAAUGCCUCCAUUUUUCGAGAAGCUAUCAUUUGGGACAUUUGCAAGGUCUCUAAAAUACAAUUCUGACCACCACUCCACCCAUUCGAAAUUAAAUUUCAGUCGUGUUUUGAUUUGUUUUAGGAACUUAGUACACCUUUGAUCAACAAUAACUCUAUUAACACAUAGACAUUGAUAUUAUUGGCAGGCCGCCUAUCCCUUGUCAAGCUACCAGCUAGUUUUAUAUAUUGCCUAGUUGUACAUAAAUAUUAUCUGUAUUGUUAAUGGACCACACAAUUAAACUAUUGGAGUCCUCCCACUGGACCGAGAAACCUAUAUAUUCCCAUGGGAAUGGGUCGUGCUGAACAAGCAGGCAGGCUUUUCCUUGAAAUGAAAUAAAGAUCUAACUUUAUUCCAGUAGUGGUUUCCGCAAAUGAAGCGUAAAUUUCACAGAACCAAAACAACUACGCCGUCUAGCACAAACUUACAACUUUAUUGAAAUAUUUUUUCAUACACAAGCCAUGCCCCUGAUCCAUUUUUCAAUGAAUACAUGACAUUCCUGUUUGAAAUCUGUACACAUCAUUUCUUCCUAGUUGACUGACAUUCACUUGGAAUACAUUAUAGAUUUACAGUAUGAUUUUUACAUAUGUAGUAAUCUUGAUCAUGCGAUAUAUGUCAUAAUGGGAAAAUUGAUAAAUAGUGGAACGGGCGCUCUUAGAGCAUGUUGAUUCUUACGCAUGUCACAUGGUCCCUACAUUCUAUUUUACUUAAUAUUUUCGGCAUGAACAAAAUACAAAAAGUUAACCAUUAAAUUUUCUAACAACAUGCUAAAUUAAUUUUCGUAGUUUCAGAAUUACUUUGAUGACAACUUUACAUGCAUAUCCCCUUUUCAUGUGACAUAUGACAUAUCCAAAUAACUUGCAUUGUCAACAAGAGGACAACGAGUAGAAAGGAGUAGAGACAAUACCUUUUGUCUAGUAGCGAUUCAUUGAUAUCAAUAAUCAGUUGUUGCACGCUUGCUUCUUUUUUUAAUUCACCGGUAAGUUCAAGGAGAAGUGCUGUCAGGGUACUUGUCAUGUCUGGAUUUGGCGACAUUGAUAUAAAAGGCCAGUAGUCAAAAUCUUUUACUCUGAGCUCUUCAUACACUCGGUUCGCAAGAGCUGUUCCUCCGGCUCCAACAAUGGCGACCAGCUUGGGUUGUUUUCGUGUUCUCAACUCACAUGGGGCCUCCUCUUCUGCCUGUGGCGACUCACACUCGUCUUCUUCAGCAGGCGCUGGCUCACAUACAUCCUCCUCUUCCACCUUCGGUGACUCACACUCUUCUUCUACUUCUUCCUCUUCUUCCUCUUCCACCUUGGGUGACUCACACUGGUCUUCUACUUCUUCCACCUGCAGAGACUCGCGUAAGUCCUUGUCAGUGAGCGGUGACUCACAUCCAUCCUCCUCUUCAACCAAUGGCAACUCAGAUCCGUCCUCGUCUUCAGCCGGCUUGGACCCACAUUCGCCCUCCUCUUCAGCCAGCAAUGACUCAUGUCCACAAUCCACUUCAGCCAGCUGUGGCUCACAGUCAGCCUCAUCUUGAGUGAGCAACUUGAUCACCUCAGCUUUGGGCCCAUCUUGCUUCGUCAAGAGCUCAAACAUGGCAAUAGCUGCAGGGUCAACAGUUGCAUGGACGUUGUUGGAGAAUGUCCCACGGGUCUCGUACCUUCCAUCUCUGUUGCUCACCCUGUUGAUCUGUUCCUUGAAACCAUCGCCGGUCCGACGACGGGCCUUCAUCUUCCCCAGCAAAUCCUUCAUCUUCUCCAUGAAGAGGUCGUGGUCCGGCUUCACAUCCCCGUCGUGGAUCGUUUGCAUGAAGUCAUCGAUGAAGUCUUCCAUGUCAUAGGAGAGCUCCCGCGCCUCGUUCAUCCACGCCUUGUCCUGCGCAUCAGGGUCCUCCUCCCCCGACAUGUCCAGCAGAGCCGCGUCCAUGGCGGAGAGCUCGUCGGCGAGGGAUUUGAUCUCCUCGCCGCGUGCUGUCUCGAGGCGCUUGUACUCGUCGCCCAUCAGCGUGGCCAGCUUCCCCAGGACGGGUUUGAGGGCCCCCGUCACUGCGCUCACCGGAGCCGCCUCCAUCUCCAUUGCUGGGACAAAUUGCAGGCGUGUGCGUGCGCGUGUGUUGUGUGUGGAUGCGGAAGCAGUGUAGGCUGAGUAGAUGACCCUUCCCUGCGCCUUUAUAGCAUUUCUUAUCAACCCAUGUUCAUCGCAUCCCCUCUUUGCUUUGACUGGCAUAAGUAUGCUCCUUCCAAGCACCAUCAUGCGUGUGCCUACCUGCUGGUAGUACUCCCACUUGCUCUAUCCAAUUAACAAGUCCAACUGGCCUCGUGCCACUGGCUGGGUGGAUGCAUGCAUGCUUCCCAAGCCUGUCGUUACCUCUGCAGCUAGCACACACAACUUGACCUUUUCAAAUCGAUAUACAUACAUGCUCCUGAACAAGUUGUAGCGUGCGUUUUGUACUAGAAACUAAUUAUAAAUCCUUCUCAUCAUAUCAUGCAUGCAUCUCAGAAAGGAAGAAGCAAAGAUGCUUUGGGCUUUGCUUGCUGAUGACUGCUCCUGCUCGUGUUAGGUAGGGAUCUGUUUUCCUAUCUUAGUUUACACGUACCUGCACUGCAUACUUGAUGAUUCAGAAUGUCUAUAAGUUUUUGAGAAUUUUAAAGUUUAUUUCAUUUACACUCAUCGAUUCUAGUAAAAAUAUAUGAUCAUUUUUUACAAUCCCGAGUUUCUGUGUCAGAGGCGUUGCAAAGCGAGCAGUUCGGAUCCUCCUCGUCCUCGGCCCUUAUCGUGAACAGAAGUAAGAAGCCAGGUUACUUGUUGUUCGCAACGAAGAGAAAAAAAACUAUAUAUGUGAUACAAGCAAAUUUGAAAAGCCAAGCUGUCAAACUACAGUGCGACACAACUGGGGUGUAAUAAUUAUUGACUAGCGUGGGCACAUAAACUUGUUUUAUGUGUGCUUGAGAAGGGCUUGUGCAAGAUGUUAAGGUUACUGUGAAGAUGAAAAACCUUCUACCAGAGGCUGAGAGCUUUAUAGUUUUGGGAUUCAAUGGGUGGCUUCCAUGAAACAUCAUCUUUUGUUGAGGUAUGCGGUGUUUCACAUAUAUCUGUUGCUGUAGUUUCUUAAGAGAUAUACAUAGACCAAUUUCAUCUGAUAAGAUAGGCAUGCUUGCCUUGUAAAGGACAGUGACAUUUGACAGUUGUUGUUUGGGGACUCUUUAUCAUAUUCGGUACACCCUUAAAUGGAGAGAAACACAUGUU